CAACACUAAGAAAAGAUGUGUCAAUGUGAUUGUACUGUUCCCCUCAAGUUUGGGAAUCCGUUGGCCUAAGCUAUCAUCACAUUUUUUUGGAAAAGUUUUUCUCUUUUUUCUUUUUUUGAAAUCACAUUAUGCAGAGGAAUUUGUUAUCUAAUAGAUAAAAGUAUAUUAAUAUUACAGCUUUUCUUUGUUCAAUCCGUUGGCCUAAGCAAAUGCACUUUGUUCAAUUAUGUCAUAAAAAUUAAAAUAGCAGGCUGAUUGGUAAUUUUUGAAUUUGGUUGUUAAAGCAAGUGGAAGGCAUGCAAUACUUGUUGUUAUGUUCUUUUUUUCUUCUCUAGUUUAUUCAGGAAGCUAAAGCUUUAGUGACCUAGAUAUCCUAUUACAAUUCAGGGACUUAAAUGGAAAAUCUAGAUGAGGGGCAUUGAAAAUCUUAGUACAUAAAGUAUCAGUUGAAGGUUUAGAUAUAUAGGGAGCCCAAAG
rnacentral:misc_RNA from 1 species